rnacentral:rRNA from 1 species
UACGGAGGAUGCGAGCGUUAUCCGGAUUUAUUGGGUUUAAAGGGUGCGUAGGCGGGCUUUUAAGUCAGCGGUAAAAAUUCGGGGCUCAACCCCGUCCGGCCGUUGAAACUGGGGGCCUUGAGUGGGCGAGAAGAAGGCGGAAUGCGUGGUGUAGCGGUGAAAUGCAUAGAUAUUACACAGAACACCGAUUGCGAAGGCAGCUUGCUAGGCCGGAUCUGACACUGAUGCACGAAAGCGUGGGGAUCGAACAGG